UUAGAAAAGUCGUUUUUGAGUAAAUUUUUUUUUUUUGAAAACGGUUUUACAAAAGUCGUUUUUUGACCAAAAACAUUUUUAAUGAAAACCGGUUUUAGAAAACCCAUUUCAUUCCUUCUCCUCCCUUACGAAAGCCGUGUUUGAUCCAAACCAUUUUCUUCUCCCUCUCUCAGCCGAAGAAGACCGACGACUUGAUCCAACCCAUCUUCUUCUCCCUCUCUCAGCCGAAGAAGACCGACGACUUGAUCCAACCCAUCUUCUUCUCCCUCUCUCAGCCGAAGAAGACCGACGACUUGAUCCAACCCAUCUUCUUCUCCCUCUCUCAGCCGAAGAAGACCGACGACUUGAUCCAACCCAUCUUCUUCUCCCUCUCUCAGCCGAAGAAGACCGACGACUUGAUCCAACCCAUCUUCUUCUCCCUCUCUCAGCCGAAGAAGACCGGCGACGAAGAGGAAGCACACCACCGGCGGAACACCUUCAUCAAACACCCACUUCAGGUGACUGAUUACCUCAUUUUUUGGGGGUCUUUUAUAGCUUCUUGCUUCAUCCCCCACUGCAAAGUCUCUAUGUCUACAGUAUAAUUCCACAGAACCAAAUUCAGUAGAUGAAGAAGGUUAACCCACAAACGCUGGUCAGCAUCCCUCCUGUGGAAACCAAUUCCCUCAACAAAGAAAGUUGCUGGCUCAAAAUCCCACCAGUGGUGAUUGACGCAAAUGAUUUGUUAUGUGAUGAUCAAACUGCAAUAGAAUCCUAGCCUCCAGAAAAUAGUGGAAAACAUGAGGGUAUUCCUGUGACAAAUGGAGAGUUAAGAUCUAGGGAAGAUAUAACUGUCAAUGAGAGUUAGAAAUCUGCCCGGACAGCUUCUUCUGCAGCAAAGCAGGAACGUGCAAAGAAUGGGGUACAAAACAGACCUGCAGUGCCAAGUUACAUGGCAGCAACUGAAUCUGCAAAAGCAAAACUGAAAGCACAAGGCUCGCCAAGGUUGGACCAAGAUGGAAUUGAGAAUCAUAAUCUCAGUAGGCGUCAUUCUUUGCCAGCUUCAACUAACAAGAAAACAAAUUCGCCGUCGCCAAGGGCACAGAGACCAAUACAUUCGGGUGGAAACAAAAGUGAUAGAUCUAUGUUGUCAUCUAGAGAUGGAAAUGGUAAGAAAUGAAAGAACUCCAACCAACCUGCUAAAAAGAAUUCCAAGCUUACUCAUAUGCUGCAGAGCUCUCUAGCAGGAGAUUGCAAGACCCUGAUGUAUGUCCAGAUCAGCCCAAGUGCUACUGAUUUGGGAGAAACUCUGUGCUCACUUAAUUUUGCUAGCCGUGUGAGAGGGAUAGAGCAUGGACCUGCUCGUAAACAGGCAGACCUCACAGAGCUUGUCAAAUAUAAGCAA